GAGCUACGGAACACAGAGAUCUGACGUGGAUUCCGCCAAAAGACAGCAAUGCGAAGUAACCAGUGGAUGCUCGUUUGUUCUGAUGUGUAACCAGCUUAGUGUCCCAAUGAAAAGCGGACUGCACUUCUCCCAUGUGGACUACAACAACAACAACCCCUACCCUGAAGAC